rnacentral:rRNA from 1 species
UACGUAGGGGGCAAGCGUUGUCCGGAUUCAUUGGGCGUAAAGAGCGUGUAGGCGGCCAGGUAGGUCGGUUGUGAAAACUGGAGGCUCAACCUUCAGAGGUCGACCGAAACCAUCUGGCUAGAGUCCGGGAGAGGAGAGUGGAAUUCCUGGUGUAGCGGUGAAAUGCGCAGAUAUCAGGAAGAACACCCGUGGCGAAAGCGGCUCUCUGGAACGGUACUGACGCUGAGGAGCGAAAGCUGGGGAGCA